GCACUUUUGUCCGGAAAGAAAACCUUUGCACUAAUACUGUGAGGGGAUGACGGUACCGGAAGAAUAAGCACCGGCUAACUACGUGCCAGCAGCCGCGGUAAUACGUAGGGUGCGAGCGUUAAUCGGAAUUACUGGGCGUAAAGCGUGCGCAGGCGGUUCGUUAAGACAGAUGUGAAAUCCCCGGGCUUAACCUGGGAACUGCAUUUGUGACUGGCGAGCUAGAGUAUGGCAGAGGGGGGUAGAAUUCCACGUGUAGCAGUGAAAUGCGUAGAGAUGUGGAGGAAUACCGAUGGCGAAGGCAGCCCCCUGGGCCAAUACUGACGCUCAUGCACGAAAGCGUGGGGAGC
rnacentral:rRNA from 1 species